rnacentral:rRNA from 1 species
ACUCAAAGGAAUUGACGGGGACCCGCACAAGCAGUGGAGUAUGUGGUUUAAUUCGAAGCAACGCGAAGAACCUUACCAGGUCUUGACAUCCCUCUGAAUACCUUAGAGAUAGGGUAGGCUCUUCGGAGACAGAGGAGACAGGUGGUGCAUGGUUGUCGUCAGCUCGUGUCGUGAGAUGUUGGGUUAAGUCCCGCAACGAGCGCAACCCUUGAUCUUAGUUGCCAGCACGUUGAGGUGGGCACUCUAGGAUGACUGCCGGUGACAAACCGGAGGAAGGUGGGGAUGACGUCAAAUCAUCAUGCCCCUUAUGACCUGGGCUACACACGUACUACAAUGGCCGGUACAAAGGGCUGCGAAGCCGCGAGGCGGAGCGAAUCCCCAAAACCGGUCUCAGUUCGGAUUGCAGGCUGCAACUCGCCUGCAUGAAGUCGGAAUUGCUAGUAAUCGCGGAUCAGCAUGCCGCGGUGAAUACGUUCCCGGGUCUUGCACACACCGCCCGU